UUGAGAGCUUGCUCUCAUGAAGUUAGCGGCGGACGGGUGAGUAACACGUGGGUAACCUGCCCAUAAGACUGGGAUAACUCCGGGAAACCGGGGCUAAUACCGGAUAACAUUUUGAACUGCAUGGUUCGAAAUUGAAAGGCGGCUUCGGCUGUCACUUAUGGAUGGACCCGCGUCGCAUUAGCUAGUUGGUGAGGUAACGGCUCACCAAGGCAACGAUGCGUAGCCGACCUGAGAGGGUGAUCGGCCACACUGGGACUGAGACACGGCCCAGACUCCUACGGGAGGCAGCAGUAGGGAAUCUUCCGCAAUGGACGAAAGUCUGACGGAGCAACGCCGCGUGAGUGAUGAAGGCUUUCGGGUCGUAAAACUCUGUUGUUAGGGAAGAACAAGUGCUAGUUGAAUAAGCUGGCACCUUGACGGUACCUAACCAGAAAGCCACGGCUAACUACGUGCCAGCAGCCGCGGUAAUACGUAGGUGGCAAGCGUUAUCCGGAAUUAUUGGGCGUAAAGCGCGCGCAGGUGGUUUCUUAAGUCUGAUGUGAAAGCCCACGGCUCAACCGUGGAGGGUCAUUGGAAACUGGGAGACUUGAGUGCAGAAGAGGAAAGUGGAAUUCCAUGUGUAGCGGUGAAAUGCGUAGAGAUAUGGAGGAACACCAGUGGCGAAGGC
rnacentral:rRNA from 1 species